CCCCUUCUUCUUCUUCUCCUUCUUCCCUCCCCUCCCCCCCCCUCUUCUUCUUCUUCUUCUUCUUCCUCCUCCUCCUCCUCCUCCUCCUCCUCCCCCGCCUGCCAGGGAAACAGAGGGUCGCUCUGGCCGCCGCCGCCGCCUCCCCGGCCCCGCUCCUGCCCGCUCAAUGUAACUGAGGCGGCGGCGCCGCCGGAUUGGCUGCUCGCCCCCGCCUCGCCCCGCCCUUUCGGCUGAGGGGGAGCCCCGACAACAACAGGCGGCCGGGGAGCGCGGCACAGGGGCGGGGCGGGGCCGGGCCGGGCCGUGAGUGGCGGCCCGGGGGGGGGAGGGGCCUCGGGGAGCCCCCGGCGGGACCGAUCCCCCGGCGGUUUAUUAGCUCCUGCAUGGGUGGCAGGGAAGGAGGAAAGGCUGUCUUCUUCCCUCUUGGGACCAGGUAACCCCUCUCCCAGCAGUUACCUGCUUGCUCUGGGAAUCUGCCUCCCCACCCCAGAGUCCUGGCCCCAUUACCUGGCUGUGGUGUCCAGGUCCUGAAUCAGCUCAGAGUCCCUCAAGUUCUGACUGGAACAUCAUCUCAGAUAUUACUACAUUUGCAACAGUACUGCUGCCACCAGCUUCGCUAUCCUGCUUCCACACAGCAUGAAAUAUUAACCAUGGUGGUUUGGGAGAGUGCCAGUUGCUAAGAGAAAGUGAGAAACAAGGAGAAGCUGCAAUCAGGAAUGACCUUCUAUUGACACACAGUUUAAAUUUUUUGCAUAUGUUUGGGUUUGGUGUUUUUUCUUUUUUUUUUUAAACAGGACUGAAAAUUCUGACUUUUAAAAUCUUAGAAAAAUAAACCGUUCCGAUCACAUCCUUUGUAUCUGUUU
rnacentral:lncRNA from 1 species